CUCCUAUCUAUCUCCAGGGUGUCACUGUCAUGAUAGGCGGGGUUGUUAUAUACUCCAGUGUUGUUGUAGUGCGACAUAGGGAUCCUUGGCUUGAUCUUCUUCUAUAGUGGUUAACCCGGUGGGGGUUUCUGUCUGUCCCUCUCUUCUUUAGUCCCCUAGAGGUCUGAAAGGUCCUCCUACUGUAUUCUCAGUAAAACAAUUCAUGAGAAUCAGCUUGCCAUUACAUAAAAUGAGAACUGGAAACGAGACAUAAACGUGCCACUAGCAACAAGACCCCCUUGGGUAUAAAGAAGGGGCAAAUACAAGACUUCUGAGACCAUACCUCGAUGCUAUUCCCAUCGUACUUUCACAAAUAAAGCUGUGCUAUCUAAUACACAUCACAUGUUUUGGAAGGAAUGGCUGCCUUCAGUAAGUUAUUUAACUCCCCUUUCCUAUCCCUGUGUAUAUCAUUAUUUAUUAACACAGGGAUAUGGUUUCUGUUUUGCCAUGGUCUGUGCCUCAGUGCUGCCCUAUGGCAGUAAACUAGGCAAAGUAGAAGUAACAAAUUCCCGAGCAACAAAGUCUGGAAAGAGAUCCGACUAACAAAUGUGUUGACAUUUUAGUUUAUUGUGGGGAAAACACAGAAGUUAUAUGUGACAGGGAAUCUUUGUUGUCAAAUUAAGAGAAAUAUAACCAUGUUCCAAAUAAUAAUAGUAUACAUUGCUGUUAGAUACAGUAACAAUUUAAAACUAUUGUAUCAAACAAUUGUUUAAAAGAGUAAAUCCACAGAGUGUAAUUACCUGGUUAAUGUGCUGCUUACUCAGGGAAAUCUGCUGGCUGCUUGAACAGAUGUUGCAGGCCGAGGAUGCCUCCCCUUUUCCUUAUAAUCCAGGUUUGAAGUGUCAACUGUGGUAGCUGGAGUGCAGUUCUGAGAGAUAUACCUUUGUUGAACUUUAUCACUGUGUGUCUGUCAGACUACCCGGAACUGUGCACUUGAAAUAAAGGUAAAAGUCCGGUGGUUCUAAAUGCCGUAUGCAAAUCUAAUAGGCUGCUAUGGUUGGCAUAAUGACAAGUAUUUCCAAAUUAUUCCCAUAGGACGUGAAAAUUAAUUGGCAUAAUAAGAUAAGGGACGGCCAAGGGCUCAACUGUGUUAUUACGAAUGACUGCAUGUGCAGUGUGUAAUUGG
ensembl:lncRNA